rnacentral:lncRNA from 1 species
UAAUCUUCAAUUCACAGUCAAGUGGUGAGUCAACUUUCACUUACACUUCAAAUGCUUAUCUGUAAUUCUGUGUCACAACUUACUCAACUUGUUCCCUUGUUCAGGUUUGAAGUUGUCGAACAGAUUGAGGAUGCAUUCACGGGUCUAAAAGUGCCUGCAUUUGAUGAGAAUUGCAUUAGGUUGUGAUUGCAUACUUAUAUACCAACAUUUGAGGGCAUUUCGUAUCAGUUGAGUGUUCAAAAAGAUACCACUGAUGUAGUUGCGCUCAAUCAUGAGUUAUUAAUUGAAGUUACUUAGCAUGGACUAAACAUAAAAAAUAAAAAUAGGUGAUAGUACUAAACAUAAAAAAAAAAUAAAAAAAAAAUAAUAAUAAUAUUUUAUAAUAAAUUAUAUUAUUUAGAUACCAAUAUAGUGAACAUUUUUUUAUAUUUAUAUAUUUGGUACCUAAAUGAGUUUUUAUAUUCUAUAUAAUUGGUUGUUAAUUUGGUUUCUAUAUAAUUGGUUGUUAAUUUGGUUUCUAUAUAAUGGAUCACUAAAUUAGUUUCUAUAUAUUUGGUCACUAAAUUAGUUUCUAUAUAUUUGGGACUAUUAGUUUAUAAAUUAGUCUCCAAUUAAGCUAGUGACUAAUUUUAUCAUUUUAGAAACCAAAAAUUUAGUAUCUAAAAACACUUUUUCUUGUAAUGAUUUAAUAAAUAAUUUUAAUUCAUAUAAUUGACUAAUAAAUUAAUUGUGGAUUAAAUGUUUAAUUUUGAAAAACUGAACAAUUAAGUUUGCAAUAAAAAAUUUAUAAGAAGAAAAGUUAUAUAUUUAUAGGAAAAAAAUGAAUUUAAGUGAAAUAAGUAUAAUUAUCGAAGAUAAUACUAGAAUUAAAGUGUAAUGGAGUUUCUACACUAGUAGUAAAAUUUUCAUUUCCACUUGGCAUCGUAUUUAAAGUAGAGAAAAGUUAAUUUCCUUUUGCCACUCAAAGGACCUCUCAAUCAAAUGAAGGGCUUAACUAUUUUAUGUGAGAUUUAUGUGUCACCCUACAACAAUGGUUUAUUAACUAUUUUAUUCAAUCUUUCUUUCUUUUUCUAUUUUUUUUUCUAUUAUAUUACUUAAAUAGAUUUUUUUUUCUUAAAUAACACUAUUUUUAUUUUUCCAUCCAACAUCCUUUGUUUUUAUUUUUCUUUUUAGUACAGUUUCUGACUUUUUUUUCCUUAGAUAACACUAUUUUCACUUUUAAAUAUUUAUAAAACUAUAAUAAAUUUAAAUAUUUCUAAAAUUAAAAUAGAAGAAAAUUUUAAAAAAAAUCAAAAUAAAUAAUAGUAAAAAUUAAAUAAAAUUGUUUGGAUAUUUUAUAAAAAAAUAUUAACUAAAUGAUUUAAAAAAUUAUAAUAAAAAUUAAGUUAUUCAUUGAUGAUAUGUAUGUAAUAAUAAAAAAAAAUUAAGUGAAUAAAUUUAUUAUUAGGUUUAAUAAAACAAAUAAAUGUAUAAAUUAUAAUUUUAAAAUAAAAAUUAAGAAAAAAAUAUAUUUAAAUUGAUUGAUUAUUAUAAAUAAUGAGUUAUAUAUAAAUAUUUGUCAUAAAUUAUAAUAACAAAUAUAAUUUUAUAAUACUUCUUAUAAUUUUUUAGGGUUUAGGGGGGUUAUGAGUUAGGGUUAGGGAUUAUGGUUUAGGAUUUAGAGUUUGUGGUUAAGGUUUAGGGUUUGUGGGUUAAAGUUCAGAGUUUAGGAUUUGUGGUUUAAAGUUUAUGGUUUGAGGUUUAGGGGUUUAGAAUUUAGAGUUUAGAAUUUUCGUGUAAGAUUUACAUUUAUUUUAUUCAUAAUAUUUACUUACAUCAAAAUACUUAUAAAAUAUUUUAUUUCAUUCUCUUUGUAUUGAUAUUUUUUCAUAAAAAAAUUAUAUUUUAUUUUUAAUUUUCAAAUUUUCUUCUAUUUCAAUUUUAUAAAUAUUUAAAUUCACUAUAAUUUAUAAAUAUUUAAUAGUGGAAAUAGUGUUAUCUGAAAAAAAAUCUCAUAAAUAAUGCUAAAUAAAAAAAUAAAAAAAAUGUUGAAUGGAAAAAUAAAUGUGAAAAUAAUGAUAUUUGAAAAAAAAAGUUGUCCAAAUAUAUUCAAAUAUUAUAAUAAUAUUACGUAGCUCUAAUAUUAUGUAGCUCCAUUAAUUAAAGAAGAGAAGGUUGGAUAGAUUCAUUGCGGUUUUCCACGAAAAUUACUUAUUUUUUUAUGAAAUUUACUUAUUCGAGUAAAUUUUAAAAAUCAUGGAUUUGGAUAUAUUGUUGUUGGACCGACUAUUUCAUUCUAAAAAUUCAUUUAUUUUAAAAAUUGUCACUAACCAUUUAAUUUUAGUUUAAAAAAGUUAUAACUUGACUUAAAUGGUGAUUUUCUUUUGUAUUAUAUAAAAAGUUGAGUUUAUAUUUGUAUUAUAGAUAUACAAUUAAAAUUAUUGACGCAAAUGAAUUAAAAGUACUUGAUUUAUAUAUUUCAAUUAUAAUAGUAUUAUUCUUAAAAAAGUAUAUUUAAAUAUUGAAUUGUUUUUAUAAUGUACUUGGAUUUUGUAACGAUUUAGAUUUUGAAAGUAUUUUUUUAAUUUGGACUUAGGUUAUGUAAUUUAAAAGAAAAUAUCGAAAAUAAAAUAAAUUGAUUAAAAAUAUUCAAAAUUUAUCAUUUAAAAACAAAUUAACUACAUAUUUUAAAAACUAAAUCCCUAAACAACAUUUAAAAAACAAUAUUAUAAUUUUAAAAUAUAAAUUAAAUGCUUUUAAUUAAUUACAUAAAAAAAUAAUUUAUGUAUUUAUAAUUAUUUUAUAAAUCCACAAUUCUUUUAGAAUUUAUUUAAGUGCUAAGAUGUAGACAUGGUCAGGUGGUAUGCUAUCUACAAGUGAUCAUAUUGCAUUAUAGUUGACUUAUUGUAAGCGUAUUUAUUAAAUAAAUUAUAUUUAGGUCACUUUUAAAAAAUAAUAAAAACUAUUUUUAGUUGACUUAUUGUAAGCUUAUUAUAACUUUUAAAAAAUAAUAAAAACUAUUUUAUAAGUUAUUAAAAUAAAAUAGAUAAACUUUUUCAUAUAAAUAUAAAUAACAUAAUGAUAGUGUCAUAUUUUCACACCCAAUUUGACAUAACACAAGUGAACAUCAAACAACGAGUCAAUGAUUUUAGUAUAGCUUUACGCAUUGUACAACUUGUAUAAUUAUUCACUAGGAAGAUUCAUCACUUGAAUAGUUGAUUCCUAGUUGAUAGUUCAUGAACAUUCUCCAAAUGAAAAAGUUUAUCUUUAAUGUUACCUUAGCUUCACAUAACACUUUACAUGCUCUAGUAUAUUGAUUAAUGGAUUGUUGUACUUGUAAUAACUCCUAUCACUAUAAAAGAAAAUAUUAAAUAAAAAAUAAUUUUAAAAAAAAUAUAAUUAGUUUUUAAUUGACUAAAUUAAAUAUUAUUUUAAAAAUUAAAAAAAAAUUAUUAAUAUCUAAAUUAGUUUCUAUUAUUAUAAAUAAUUUUUAACUUGAUAUCUAAUUAGUUAUCAAAAUUUUAGCUAUCAAUUUUAAAAUCUAAUUAGUUAAUAAUUAAAACUUUGGUAGUUAAUUAUAUAUCAAUUUAUAAAUUAUUUAUCAAUAAUAAAAACUAAUAUAAAUAUUAUUAAUUUUUUUAGUCUACAAAAUAGUAUCUAAUUUAGUUAAUAUAACAAUUAAUUAUUUUUUGUCUCUAAAAUUGAUUUAUAUUUAAUAAUUUUCUAAUAAUGUAUGCAAAUUUCACACAAUAUUCUUCAUUUAUGGUCUUUUUUCCAUUUUCACAUAACUUGUUUUUUUUAACUUAAUAGUCACUCUACUUAGGAUAUUUUCCAACUUCCUUAAACAAAUAGUUGACAUUGUUUUUGUUCCACACAUUUGUUAGACUAGAAAUUCACUUAUUUCCAUAUCCAAGUUUUCUUGUAGUGUUUUCAUCAAACCAACCUUUUUUUAUUUUCUUCCACACACAUUGUCCUUAAAUCCUUCAAUUAUAUAGAAGUUUGAUGUGUAUUUUGAUUAAUUUUACUCACAUCCCACUCUCCAUACUUUGAUUUGGGGAUCUUACUCCAAAAUGAAUUUUGUUGUUGCAAUAAACCCCAUUUUCAUAAGCUUUUUCAUAGUCAACUUUAAGUAUUAAGAAUUAUUUUCUCUUACUCCAUGCAUUUUCCACUACUUGAUAACAAUCAAUCUAUUGUGUAGUAGAUUCAUUCCCCUACCAAACACACUAUGAUUUUGGUCAAUUAACUUUUUCAUUCUUCUUUUACCACCUCUCAAAAGUCCUUAUCCUCCAACCAACAAUCUAAAACUCUAAAUGGUUUUGGCUCUCAUCUUUAAGAGGAUUAAGGAAAUGGUUUGAAUAGUCCCACUGCAAGACAUAUUGUACACUGGCCCUCCAUGUGUCCAACCAUUAUGAUGAAGAUACCAACAUUCUAUUGAUUCUACUACUUCCACUACCAUUACGUACAUUUAUACCAUAUAUAUCUACGUCCCAACAAAGGUAUAUCUUCAAUUUGUAUUUCUUCAAUGAAAUUAUUAAUCAUCUCACUUCCUCCAUGCUCCCUCAUAAUCUCUCAUCUAUACAUUCUUUUUCUUGUUUCUUUUAUGCAAGUCACUUCAACCUUUUCACAUUGGAUAAGCUCUUAUAUUUUUAUUUUUUUGAUACAUCUCCCCAAUCCCCCUUACAUUAUUUAAAUAUUAAAUUCUCAUGAUAAAGCUAUUAUAUCCCCCUCUUUCUCUUGGCCACUUUUACCCUGUGUUUUGAUUUUCCAAUAUACUAUUUACGUCAAUAGAAAAAAAUAGUGAAAGUGAAAGAACAAGACAUAAAUUACGAAAAUAAAAUAAAAAUUUUCUCUUAUAAACAUUUUGCUGUUAAAUAUUGUACAACUUUAAUAAUGAUAAUGAUAAAAUAUUUAUCACAUAAUCGAUUAUAUUUUCGCUUUUAAAUAUUUUACAACUUUUACGUUUAACAAUAUUAUAAAUAUAACUUAUUAUUUUUUAAUAAUUAUAUUAUUAAUAUUUUAUUUAUAUAUUUUUUAUAUUUAAUAAAAUAAAUAAUUAAAGUAUAAAUAAAAUAAGUCGAGUCAAUCCAGACUCAAGUCGAGCUAAGUUGGCCCGAGUCAAGGUUUAGUCGAGUGGGUUCGAGUCCAUGUUGAGCUGAGUGGAUCUGAGUCCAUGUUGACUUGAGUCAGCUUGAUACCAGGUCGAGUUUGUUCGGGUCCAAGUCGAGUUGAGUCGGGUCGGCUCGACUCGGCUUGACCUGGGCUCGAAGAGACUUGGCUCGACCUGAAUCUGGGUCCAAGUCGAGCUGAGUCAGCUUGGUACCAGGUUGAGUCGGCCUGAAUCCAUGUUAAGCCAAGUUGACCCGGGCCCAGGUCAAGACGAGUUGGUAUGGGCCUAGAUUUAGCUGAGUCGGCCCAGAUCCAAGUUGAGUGGGGCCAUGUUGAGUUGAGUGGGUCCGAGCUCAUGUUGAGCUGAGUCAGCCUGAUAUCAGGUCGAGUUAGCUUGGGUCCAGUCGAGCUGAGUCACCCCGGGCCUAAAUAGAGCUAAGUCCACUCGGACCCAGGUCGAGCCGAGUUGGCCUGGACCCAUAUCGAGUCGAGUCGACCUGGGCCCAUUUCAAGUCGAGUCGACUUGGGCCCAGGUCGAGCGUAGUUGAUCUAGGUUUAGGUCAAGCCGAGUCGGCCUGGUUCCAAGUCUUGCUAAGUUUACCCAAGUCCAGGUCUAGCGAAGGUUGAGCCAAGUCAACCCGUGUCUAGAUCGAAAUAGAUUUAAUCUAAUUGACAAAAUGUAUUUAAUCUAUUUAAAUGAAUUUGAAAAAAUCCAAAUAAAUUUGAUAUAGUUAAAAUGGAUAUGGAUUUUAAAUCCAAUCCAUUUUAUUGGAUCUAGAUUGAAUCUAGAUUGAAUUUUGAAAAAUUCAAUCCAUGACCACCGAUCAUCCUUUAUGAUCUCACUCUCCUUUAUCUCAUUUUACUCAAUUCCUACAGCUUUCUGGCUUCCUCCUGUUUGUUUCAAGAAUGGAGUAAAGUGAAACAAUUCUUAAUAACACUCUUAGAUAACAUAUUACAAAGAGAAGGCAUAGUGGAACAAUUUCUAUUACUUCUCGCACCCCUAUGCUUUCACCACCCACUUUGUCCUUAUAUGACGACUUUUCUUGGCCCUCUUGUUCUGGCCCAAACCCUGACCCCUGAGAUUCACAAAUGGGUUCCUUUUCCUUCUUCCCUCCUUCCUUGAUUCUACCUUAUCACUACCUCUGCUCCUCCGUCAUCUCCUCCCUUCAACUCUAUCUUCUUCAACCACUCACCCAUCUCCAACUUCCUCCCACCUUCUGCGUCUUCAUUCCUCCAACUGUGACCUCUCAUAACAAGUACGAGUCAAAACUCUCUCAUUUCAACUGUUUAUUACAUUUAAGAUACGAAUUCGAUAUUACUAAUUAAGCUAGAAAGAUAGAUAUUUAUAUGUAAUAAUUGUUUACUAAUUUAAUAAUAUUUAAAAUAAAGAUAAAAUAAUUCAUUAACAUAAUAAUAUAACAAAACAAAUGGUAUCUUAUUUAUUCCACCUUCCUUUGUGCUAAAACCUAACUCUGGGGCACACUUUAUGAAUGUAGAGUCACUCACUCUUCCCUUCUACUGAAAAGCAAACUGAAGAAAAGCAAGUAGACCACAGAGUUUAUGGAAACCCAUGUUUUCCUCUUUUGUUCCUGGUCCCCCUUGGAUAACUUUUAAACUUUGAAAGGAGAGUGAUAAAGAUGAAAUGAAGUUGACAGAAUUAAAGUUACAAAAUUAAACUUAAACAUUUUGUCCACACAUUCUUAUUUAUAGCCAUAGGCCUUUACAGAUACCAACUGGUUUUCUAAGUUACAAAUCUAGUGUGUAGACUGAGUUAAGCCAACCAACAAAAGCAUGCAUUCCAAACUCAAAUCUUCUUUAGUACAUCAAAAUUCAAACACAAUUCACAAACUAGUGCUCUCCAAAACCUCUGCUCCUAUUCCACUAUUCCCACUUGUCCCAUUUGAUACAACAUCACUGCCACAUUAUUUUUUGCAGUUGUUUCUACCAACAGGAUCACAGCCACGGAACUAAAAAACAAACGGAUAUCUCGUGACAAAACAUAAACCUUAGCCAGGCCAGCCUUGCACCAGCCACUAAAGCCAACAUAGUAGAACCACACUCCUAUAUUUUUCUAACUAUUCUUAAUUUACUAUUUUUUUAUGUCUAACUUUCUAACCUUCUUACACUAAUUAUGGCAUCUAAAAUGUGUUCAUUUUAAACAGAUAUAAUAUUUUACAUGGAAAAGAAAUAAAGGAAAUGAAUACAACAAACAUUAUUAUAAGGUAGCAUGAUGUUUUUAAUUAUCCUCAGAAACAGUUGGGUUGACUUGCAGUGGUUGCGGGCUCGUGCUCCCUUAUUCUAUUUAAUGGAACAUAAAUGACUAGGGUUUGUGGUAACUUCCCUCCUUUCAUUUUCGUACUUUUUUCGGCCAAUCUUCUAUGAGUUGUAUAAUUGAGAGUUUCUCUCUCAACAAGGGUAGAUUUAAAAUUAAUGUGACCAUGCGCAGAUCGGAUCAAACGCUAUUUACCUAAUUCAAAAACACAUCUCACCUCAUCUCGAGAAAAUUGUAUAUUAGUUACACCACCAUAAAAUUAUUAAUAUAUAUUAUUAUAUUAUUAAAAUAGGUUAAAUUAGUAGUGUUUUUGUCUGUGUCAAAAAACAUUUUUCUAAAACAAAACGCAAGUAAAUUAAACAUAAAGAUAAGAUCACCAAAAUAAACAAGGAAAAAUUGAAAAUUUGGAAGAUAGAAAGGGUUGCCAGAAACGUCAUUAUGCCAUCUGAAUUGGAAGAACCUGUGACAGAAAUGAGAACAGAUAUUGCCCUCUCAACUUUGUCCAAUUACCUUUGCUCUCUCAUAACUUUGCCCAAUUAACUCAAUUAAUUCACUCAAUCAACCAUGUUGCCCAAUUAAGCAGUUUUAACAGUAACGUUUUCCCUCUUAAUCCUCGCGGAACUCAAAGGCCCUAAAUACUCCAUCAAAACCAUUCACAACCAAUGCACAAAAUGAAAUUCACACCCAAACAUAACAAAACACAAAGCUGCAUUAAUUUGAAAUCACCAGCCAAUAAUCAACACAAACAAAUUCCCAAAUAAAAUCACCUCUAAGCGAAUUCCAACUUAGCUUUCUCCUCCACGACCCUCCACGCGAACAACCAAUAAUCAACGCUAACAAUAAGUGAUUCAAAUAAGAGAAUACUACAUAAAAAAUGUCGAAAUUAGAAAAGCAAUUACAGAAUCAAAUUAGAAGAAUCCACAAUCAGGGUUUCAAUUUUAGGAGUUAGGGUUUGAAUACUUAAUUGCAUGUCUUUGAAACACCCAAAUGGAGCAGCUUGGAUGGACCUUCGAACACCCUACAGCUGCCAACCACCAAACGUCGCUGCCAAAUCUUGCGGUUAAUUCCAAAUCUUGCUGGAAAAGCUUGAAAAGACAAACGUACAAAAGUAUUGAGAGUUUCACCUUUU